GAUGCCCCAAUAUUGCAAAGGAACCUUGGUGACUGUCCAGGCAGCCAGCUGUUUCUGUCAUUUCUACAUUUUGGAAGUUGUUUACCUUGCACUUCUGUUUACUCAGCAUCCAUCCCUACAACAUGCUCCCUCUGAAGAGCUCAACCUUCCUUCAAGAUCCCACCUGUGGCGAAGGUACCUGGCUCCUUGCCCAGAUUCAGCUACUCUGCUUUGAAAAUUAUAGUGCGCUCCCCCAGAAGCUGAGCUUCGAGGACCAGUGUUCAUUCAUCUCUGUUACUCAGCACAAGGAAGAGUGAGCGCAGCGAAAAUCCUUUCUGCUAUGCUGAUGGCAAAUGCCUUCCAAGUUAAUCCAUCAAGUCUCUCCAGGUCUGCACUAGGCCUUUCUGCCUUGCCUUAGAACCCUUUCCUUCAACUGAAAGCUAUCUCUCUCCUACCCCAUCCCUGGCUGGAAUUCUUCCUCCAAACAGGGUGGCUCACCUGUGGGUGAGAACUACAUGGUCUUGAACAUGUCUGUCACUCAGAGACUCCAACCACUAGCUCAUUUUUCCAGAACCCUCCAGUCUGGGUGAGCGGGAUUUUCUGUGCUUCCCCUCCCAUCUCUUGUAAUAACCAACCUCCUAGCGGGGCACUGGUUGUAUGAAGUACAGGAGACUGACCUUGCUUCUCCCUGUUCUCCUAGUCACUGUGAAGGGUCCAGGCUGUGAAGCAUGCUGGUCAGGACUGCCUUUAUACCCUGCUGGAAGACACUGCACUAGGAGACGAGUGUUCUCUUCCCUCUGGGCCUGGGAAGCAUAUGUCGAUUCUUUCCAUCAUUUAGAGAAAUGGAGAGUCUGUCUGAAAGGAAUGCCCUGAUGUCAGCCCUUGAUCCAAGUGUGCCUGCAGGCCAGUCCGCCCAGUACUCUUCAGGUCCUGAGCCUCGCCUGGAUAGACAUGACUGGGUCAUGAGGCUCUGCCCUCAUCAACAAAUUGAUGUCAUCAUCAUCAGAAUAGGCUUUUCUAAAAAAUUCUUAUUAAGAUUAGUAAGGACAUAAUGGUUUAAUUAUAGUCAAACAAGGGUUAGGUGUAAAGCCAUUUUCAUGCACAUAUAUAAUGUAUUUUGAGCAUAUCCUCCUAUCUCCUACAGCCUUCUCCUCCUUAUUCCUCCCCUUCCAUCAGUCACUUCUGUUCCUCAGUCAUCAGUGCAUAUAUGCUUUCAUGGAUCUAUGAAGUCUAGGACUCACGAAUGAGAGAAAAUAUACAAUAUUUGUUUUCUGAAACUGACUUAAUCCAUUUCAUGGGAUUAUCUCUAGCUGCAUCUGUUUUUCCUACAAACAAUAUAACUUCAUUCCUUGUUAUGGCUGAGAAGAGCCCCACUGUGUAUAUAAAGUGCAUUUCUGUCAUCCCUUCCUCUGCUGGGCACCUCCGUUGGUCCUGUAGCUAAC